GUUUCAGCAGCCGCGGUAAUACGUAGGGGGCAAGCGUUGUCCGGAUUUAUUGGGCGUAAAGAGCGUGUAGGCGGCCAGACAAGUCCGUUGUGAAAACUAGAGGCUUAACCUCUAGACGUCGAUGGAAACUGUUUGGCUAGAGUCCGGAAGAGGAGAAUGGAAUUCCUGGUGUAGCGGUGAAAUGCGCAGAUAUCAGGAAGAACACCCGUGGCUAAGGCGGUUCUCUAGUACGGUACUGACGCUGAGACGCGAAAGCGUGGGGAGCGAACAGGAUUAGAUACCCGGGUAGUCC
rnacentral:rRNA from 1 species